UAAAAAAAGAUACACCAACAAUUAAGGAAAUUUAUUUUGAUGGAAAAUAUUAUAAGCGAGAACAAGAAAUUGCAAAUGUGCUCAACCACUUCUUCAUAGACAGUAUAAAGCAAAUAGUAGAUAGCGCACCAGCUGAAACGUUCCAGAACUUUAAUCAAACGAGCCCUUCCACCAAAUUUAAAUUUGAUAUACCAGAUAUUGUAUCAUUAAAAAAAUAUACUCAAACGACUCAAAAGAUCUUACGAUAUAAUUGGAAAUCAUCUACACAGAGUAAUAGAAUCAUCAAUGAAUGAGGGAGUAUUCCCAGAAUGUCUAAAAGAAUCAAUAAUUAUACCAAUUCAAAAAGUUAAAAAUUCCAAAGACCCUCAAGAAAUUCGACCAGUCAACACACUACCAACAAUAAAUGAAAUCAUGGAGAAAAUUGUGCAUCAUCAAUUGAACGAAUAUUUUGAAAUCAACAAUCUUUUAAAUGAGACGCAAUCUGGUUUUAGAGAAAAACAUAGCUGUGAAUCCCAGUUAAAUUUUGUAGUUGCCCAAUGGAAGACGGAUGUCGGAAAGAAAAAAGUGUGUAGUAGCGGUUUUUCUAGAUUUGAAACGAGCCUUCGAAACAAUCGAUAGGAAAAUAUUGAUUAAAAAGCUUAACAGAUACGGUGUUGAAGAAAAACAGCUAAAUUGGUUUCAAAGCUAUCUAGAAAAAGAAAACAAAAAAUGUGAUAUGUAUGUUUGCGGAUGAUGCCCUGAUUUAUAUAACUGGUGACGACCAAACAUUUGCAUUGCCAAACUAAACGAAGAACUGGAAAAUGUGGCAAAAAAUCUAAAAAUGAAUAAAAUGAAACUGAAUACAACUAAAACUAAGGCAAUGCUUAUAAACGGAAACACAACGGAAAAUAUUAUAAUUGAAAAUAUUAAAAGUGGAAGAGAUAAAGCAUCUUGGCAUUAUCGUCGAUAAGCAUUUGAAAUUUGUCAAACACUUUGAAUUUGAAGCAAUACAUGAAUGAAGGAACGACUCCAAAAACUACAAAAUCGUGCCAUGAGAUGUAUUUUAAGACGUAGCAGAAUGGAGCAUGUAGCAUGUAUGCUAGAAAACUUGCAGUGGAUAUCGUUAAAUCAGUUGCUGUCAAUGAAAGCAUUCAUUUUCAUAUUUAAAGCCAAAAAUGGCAUGUUUCCAAAAUAUGUUCAAAAUCAUUUAACGUAUGUUUCUGAUGUACAACCAUACAAUUUUCGCAAUUUACACGAUUUUUGAUUACAA
rnacentral:sRNA from 1 species